rnacentral:rRNA from 1 species
UACGUAGGGUGCAAGCGUUGUCCGGAAUUAUUGGGCGUAAAGAGCUCGUAGGCGGUUUGUCGCGUCGGCUGUGAAAACCUGGGGGCUCAACCCCGGGCCUGCAGCCGAUACGGGCAAACUAGAAUUCGGUAGGGGAGACUGGAAUUCCUGGUGUAGCGGUGAAAUGCGCAGAUAUCAGGAGGAACACCGGUGGCGAAGGCGGGUCUCUGGGCCGAUAUUGACGCUGAGGAGCGAAAGCGUGGGGAGCAAACAGG